GGGCCCGCACAAGCAGUGGAGUAUGUGGUUUAAUUCGAAGCAACGCGAAGAACCUUACCAGGUCUUGACAUCCAAUGAAUCCUGUAGAGAUACGGGAGUGCCCUUCGGGGAACAUUGAGACAGGUGGUGCAUGGUUGUCGUCAGCUCGUGUCGUGAGAUGUUGGGUUAAGUCCCGCAACGAGCGCAACCCUUAUCAUUAGUUGCUACGCAAGAGCACUCUAAUGAGACUGCCGUUGACAAAACGGAGGAAGGUGGGGAUGACGUCAAAUCAUCAUGCCCCUUAUGACCUGGGCUACACACGUACUACAAUGGCAGGAAACAGAGGGAAGCAAUACCGCGAGGAGGAGCAAAUCCCUAAAAACUGUCCCAGUUCGGAUUGCAGGCUGCAACUCGCCUGCAUGAAGUCGGAAUUGCUAGUAAUCGCGAAUCAGCAUGUCGCGGUGAAUACGUUCCCGGGCCUU
rnacentral:rRNA from 1 species